AAAUUGAAGAGUUUGAUCAUGGCUCAGAUUGAACGCUGGCGGCAGGCCUAACACAUGCAAGUCGAGCGGUAGCACAGAGAGCUUGCUCUCGGGUGACGAGCGGCGGACGGGUGAGUAAUGUCUGGGAAACUGCCUGAUGGAGGGGGAUAACUACUGGAAACGGUAGCUAAUACCGCAUAAUGUCGCAAGACCAAAGUGGGGGACCUUCGGGCCUCAUGCCAUCAGAUGUGCCCAGAUGGGAUUAGCUAGUAGGUGGGGUAACGGCUCACCUAGGCGACGAUCCCUAGCUGGUCUGAGAGGAUGACCAGCCACACUGGAACUGAGACACGGUCCAGACUCCUACGGGAGGCAGCAGUGGGGAAUAUUGCACAAUGGGCGCAAGCCUGAUGCAGCCAUGCCGCGUGUGUGAAGAAGGCCUUCGGGUUGUAAAGCACUUUCAGCGGGGAGGAAGGCGUU
rnacentral:rRNA from 1 species